rnacentral:rRNA from 1 species
CCUACGGGAGGCAGCAGUGGGGAAUAUUGCACAAUGGGGGAAACCCUGAUGCAGCGACGCCGCGUGAGUGAAGAAGUAUUUCGGUACGUAAAGCUCUAUCAGCAGGGAAGAAAAUGACGGUACCUGACUAAGAAGCCCCGGCUAACUACGUUCCAGCAGCCGCGGUAAUACGUAGGGGGCAAGCGUUAUCCGGAUUUACUGGGUGUAAAGGGAGCGUAGACGGCAGCGCAAGUCUGGAGUGAAAUCCCAUGGCUUAACCAUGGAACUGCUUUGGAAACUGUGCAGCUAGAGUGCAGGAGAGGUAAGCGGAAUUCCUAGUGUAGCGGUGAAAUGCGUAGAUAUUAGGAGGAACACCAGUGGCGAAGGCGGCUUACUGGACUGUAACUGACGUUGAGGCUCGAAAGCGUGGGGAGCAAACAGGAUUAGAUACCCCGGUAGUC